rnacentral:hammerhead_ribozyme from 1 species
AGUUAGCUGACGAGUCCCAAAUAAGACGAAAUGCGCAUUGUACUGGAU